rnacentral:rRNA from 1 species
UACGUAGGGUGCAAGCGUUGCCCGGAUUUAUUGGGCGUAAAGGGCGCGUAGGCGGCUCUGCACGCCCGUUGUGAAAUCGCCCGGCUCAACUGGGCGGGGUCAGCGGAUACGGCGGAGCUUGAGCAAGCUAGGGGGCAAUGGAAUUCCCGGUGUAGUGGUGGAAUGCGUAGAUAUCGGGAAGAACAUCGGUGGCGAAGGCGCUCUACUGGACCACAACUGACACUCAGGGACGAAAGCUAGGGGAGCGAAUGGG